rnacentral:lncRNA from 1 species
AGGCUAGAAGGGUUCUCCUAGUGUCGUGAAGGCGCGAGCUGAGGUGAAAUACUUUGCUAUGCUCCGACAGAUGCCGCCGGUGCUCGCUGGCGGGUUGCGCUUGCGAGCUCCGGCGCGCUCUGCAGCGGGCACUCGCAAGUGACCGGUGCUUUCCGCAGAUUUUCAAGUUCAGAAA